UUUUCGCAAUGCCCGAAAGGGUGACGAAGCGACGCCGCGUGGGUGAGGAAGGCCUUCGGGUUGUAAAGCCCUGUCAGGAGUUAAGAAAUAUAAGUGCGUUAAUACCGCAUUUAUUUGACGAAGGCUCCAGAGGAAGCCACGGCUAACUCUGUGCCAGCAGCCGCGGUAAUACAGAGGUGGCAAGCGUUGUUCGGAUUAUUGGGCGUAAAGAGCACGUAGGUGGGUUUGUAAGUCAGAUGUGAAAGCCUUCUGUUCAACGGAAGAAUUGCAUCUGAAACUGCGAGUCUUGAGUGUAGGAGGGGAGAAUGGAACUUCUGGUGGAGCGGUGAAAUGCGUAGAUAUCAGAAGGAACGCCGGCGGCGAAAGCGAUUCUCUGGCCUAUUACUGACACUCAGUGUGCGAAAGCUAGGGGAGCAAACGGGGUUAGAUACCCCGGUAGUCCUAGCCGUAAACGAUGGGCACUAAGUAGAGGGGUU
rnacentral:rRNA from 1 species